rnacentral:rRNA from 1 species
UACGGAGGAUGCGAGCGUUAUCCGGAUUUAUUGGGCUUAAAGGGUGCGUAGGCGGGCUUUUAAGUCAGCGGUAAAAAUUCGGGGCUCAACCCCGUCCGGCCGUUGAAACUGGGGGUCUUGAGUGGGCGAGAAGAAGGCGGAAUGCGUGGUGUAGCGGUGAAAUGCAUAGAUAUCACGCAGAACCCCGAUUGCGAAGGCAGCCUUCCGGCGCCCUACUGACGCUGAGGCACGAAAGUGCGGGGAUCGAACAGG